rnacentral:SRP_RNA from 1 species
GCUGGGUGUGGUGGUGGGCACCUGUAAUCCCAGCUACUCGGGAAGCUGAGGCAGGAGAAUCGCUUGAACCUGGGAGGCGGAGGUUGCAGUGAGCCAAGAUUGUGCCACUGCACUCCAGCCUGGGUGACAGAGUGAGACUCUGUCUCAA